UGGGGAAUCUUGCGCAAUGGCCUAACGGCUGACGCAGCGACGCCGCGUGUGGGAUGAAGCUCUUCGGAGUGUAAACCACUGUUGCCCGGGACGAACAGCUCGAAUUCUCGAGCCUGACGGUACCGGGUGAGGAAGCACCGGCUAACUCCGUGCCAGCAGCCGCGGUAAUACGGGGGGUGCGAGCGUUGUCCGGAAUCACUGGGCGUAAAGGGCGCGUAGGUGGUUUGAUAAGGGUGUGGUGAAAGCCCGGGGCUCAACCCCGGGUCUGCCGUGCCGACUGUCAAACUCGAGGACUGUAGAGGCAGACGGAAUUCCGGGUGUAGCGGUGGAAUGCGUAGAGAUCCGGAGGAAGACCGGUGGCGAAGGCGGUCUGCUGGGCAGUUUCUGACACUGAGGCGCGACAGCGUGGGGAGCAAACAGG
rnacentral:rRNA from 1 species